GUAGGUGGCAAGCGUUGUCCGGAAUUAUUGGGCGUAAAGCGCGCGCGGGUGGUUCGUUUAAGUCUGAUGUGAAAGACCCCCGGGCUCAACCGGGGAGGGUCAUUGGAAACUGGGGAACUUGAGUGCAGGAGAGGAAAGUGGAAUUCCACGUGUAGCGGUGAAAUGCGUAGAUAUGUGGAGGAACACCAGUGGCGAAGGCGACUUUCUGGCCUGUAACUGACACUGAGGCGCGAAAGCGUGGGGAGCAAACAGGAUUAGAUACCCUGGUAGUCCACGCCGUAAACGAUGAGUGCUAAGUGUUGGGGGGUUUCCGCCCCUCAGUGCUGCAGCUAACGCAUUAAGCACUCCGCCUGGGGAGUACGGUCGCAAAGACUG
rnacentral:rRNA from 1 species